rnacentral:tRNA from 2 species
GCGCCGAUGGUUGAAUGGUACAAUGGGGCGUUGCCAACGCUUUGGUGCGGGUUCGAUCCCCGCUCGGCGCA